GCUCACUCAUCACUUCUGCGGCUGCUUCUGUGGUUCUCUGGGGCCUCUCCACACCUGCCAGGCUGGCUGCUCUUCAUGGCUGGUGCUGCCAUGGGCCAACCCCAGGAUGGCAUGCUUUGACCCUCAGAAUUCCCGUCUAAGAAGUGCUAUCAGAGCAUGUGUGUAUGCUCUCACUGCGGCAGCCAGCAGAGGUGGGUUCCGUCCCAGCCGACUCAUCUACCACGCUUCCUGCAAGAUGGAUUCAACUCAGCAUAUUUGCAAUCACUGGCCAAAGACCAAGGAGACAGCCCUGGGGAUUUCUUCCUGGGACACUUCUCAAGGAAAACUCAGUUCCUUAGAUAGAACAGCAGAUUUAUUUUGAACCAACUGUCAGCUAUAAUUGAACUAGGAGACUACCCUUUUUCCUGUAAUUUAGAGUAUUUAAAAGAAAUACACAAUAAUAACUACAUCCAACACUUACGUAGCACUUACUGGCCACCACUAUUCUGACUAUUUUACUUUUAUUAACUCAUUUAAUCUUAACAACCCUAUGAAGCCCAUACUGCUAUUAUCGUCAUUCUCAUUUAACAGAUAAGGAAACUGAAGGACAAUGAUGUUAAAUAACUUGUCCAAGACUACACAGCAAGUAAGAAGCAGAGCCUGAGAUCGAGCCUAGGCAGUCUGGCUCCAGUUUGUGCCUUUAUUUCCCUGUGCCACCAUCUACAAGUUAAGAAGUGCCUUUUUAAUUUUUGGCCAAUGUUUUUGAUGGGACUGCAAGUAUGUAGAAUUUAAUGACUAUUUUAUUUAAUAAAAUUAUGUAUAAUACUUGA